rnacentral:rRNA from 1 species
UAAUCGCACAGGGUAUAGUAACAACCCCGGAGGAUCUAGCCAGGUGUGCUAGAAUGGACGAUCCGCAGCGAAGCCCCUAGACCAGGGGAACGUUCACAGACUAAGUGGUUGUGGGUAGGAGGGACUCCUGCUUAAGAUAUAGUCGGGCCGGCGCGGAAACGCGCUGGGGAUUCGCAAGAACGUAAACCGCUCCGUAGGUGAACCUGCGGAGGGAUC